GACAGAGGAUGCAAGCGUUAUCCGGAAUGAUUGGGCGUAAAGCGUCUGUAGGUGGCUUUCAAGUCCGCCGUCAAAUCCCAGGGCUCAACCCUGGACAGGCGGUGGAAACUACCAAGCUGGAGUACGGUAGGGGCAGAGGGAAUUUCCGGUGGAGCGGUGAAAUGCAUUGAGAUCGGAAAGAACACCAACGGCGAAAGCACUCUGUGGCCGACACUGGACCACUGAGAGCG
rnacentral:rRNA from 1 species